CCCACAACGUCUGAUAGGUCCCUUUGGCCGUCCGGAGACUGCGGCCCCAUUGGAUCAUUUGACGAAUGAGGUGGGAGAAAUUAUUGCGAGGGCAAGGGUGAAGGUCGAGCCACCACCUACGACCACGAGUACGGAAAGAACGGAAAGGUACACGGGCGAAUAUUUCGCCCCCGCUGUGAACGCGGAGGAAGGCACUUCAGCCGAGUGUAAGACAUCGGCCUGCCUCUCACUGCGACGGUGGUUCGUGGAGACGGUUGUGUCCCAGGCAAAUCCCUGCAG
rnacentral:lncRNA from 1 species